AAUUUGACACAUUGUCCCAUUUUGACAGUUCAACUUCGUUAAUUCUAUCUACGUGCUUCUUAGGUGACGAUAAGCCUUGUCGUGAAAGCAAAAUUAUUGAAUAAACCAAUUUUAAGGUAUAAAUUACGGGAAAGUCAAAUUUUAUUAUUCCUACUCGCGGAUGCUGUUAAAGAAAAAGAGCGUCUAAAAAUCUCGUGCAUAGCUUUAUCAAGACACUCUUACAACCCGUCUGAUAUGCCAAACGAAGAAUUUCGGGCAUUUCGCAUAUUUACAGUUAUGUGCCGAACUUAACGCCGAGCCUCAAAAGUCAAAACGGUGAUGGAUUACUAAAACACCUAAAGGUUCUAACAGGUGUAAUAACACCUGCUAGCUGAUGGCAACUAGUCCAUUGGUCAGACUACUGUGAGCCAGUAGCUAUUGAAGCAAUUUGUAAUAGCUGUAAAUAGAAGAAAACUUCUCUUGGAUCAAGGGAGAAAUUAAGGAAGGCGCUCCUCAAGGACUUCCUAAGCAUCAUGCACAAAACCGGCUGUUACUAAGAGUGUGCGCUUGCGAGUUGCUAGCGAGCUUAAUAAAUACAUACUUAUGUCGCCUAUGUUUUACU